AAGAUGCUAAUGACUUGGACAACUGAAAGGGAAAGGAAACUUCUAAAAUUCAAAAAAGCGACUUAAAAUGUUGUAAGGUUUUUGUUUGUAAGGUCCUAUUCUGUGUGCCAAACCAAUAAGCCUCCUAGCUUAGCUACCUCCAGCCAGCUGCCUAUUGUUUAGUCUUUUAGACUUUCUGAAACAGUAAUCAAGAACGCCAAAGAAAAAUAAGAGAGAAGCCCUUUUCUUCCUUCAUCUUCCAGCGUUCUUUCAUCUAUUGCUGGUCAUUGUAAUGAUGAGUCCUUUUGCCACCGCAUGAAAAACCUCUUCCUCUCCUCUAUUUUUUCUUUUCUUUUCUUUUCUUUUCAUAUGCAGAUACAAACACAUUGUCCCAUCUAUAUAUAACUCGCAUUUUUUUCUCAUGGAUUCUAUGCAAAUUGCUUCAACUCUGCAGCCCCAAUCCAAAAGGCCAUAGCAAAACCCAAUAGGUUCCUUUUUUUACCGCUAAAGAUCAACCCCCUUUUCUUUGCCUUCUCUCUCUCUCUUUCUCUCUCUCUCUCGAUAAGAAGCGUAAACUUUAGGGGAAACACAAAUGUGCACCAACUCUUCAAAACUAAGCUCAUGCAAUCCCUUAUAUAUUGCUUUUAGCAAUCGAAAGUCAUCAAGGGGAAGCAACCUUCCACGUCGCCGGUUAAUAAUAAGCAGCAGGAGGAGAAGAUCAUUAAAAGAAGCAAAGAAAAAGAUGGAAAUCAGGAACUUGAAACUUUACAUGAAGAACAAAAGCAUCAUAGAAGAGAAUGAGAAGCUAAGAAAGAAGGCUUUUCUUCUCCACCAAGAGAACCAAGCUUUGUUAUUUCAGCUUCAAAAAAGGUCCUCUAAAUCCCAUGACCAUCUGCUGGCGGCUCUCAUCAACAACAACCACGUACUAUAAUAUGACCAUUUUUACCUCUCUCUAUAUAAAGGUUAAUUAAUUACUUUACCUGCAGAGAAGAUGAUGAGGAAUAGGAAGAAAAGAGAGACGAGUUUCUUUGAUCUUUGAUGAGGAAGUCUUCUAUUAAUUGCGAUUAUAAUCUUUUUCUGCCUUUCAUACCGUUGUUUUAUUAACCUCUAGAAGGUAGUUUCAUAAAUUUGAGCUUGGACAAGAUCCACUUGUUUGUCCAUAAGUUGAUUAUUAUGAUCUGUUUAAUAAAUCCAGCAAUCUAAAAUGUUAUUAUCCUCAAAGAUGACAUGUAUUGAACACGAAUCCACUGUCUCUGCAGUAGCGUACAAGAACAUGAACGUUCAGUUUGGAUCUUACAAUUUCUUAUAAUAUUAAAUUGUACUUCUACAUUCUUUCUUUGGGAAA